UUUGGAUGGACUUUUGAAUGAUACAUUCUUAUAAUAUGUGGUAGUUGUGCUUGUGUUGGAAAUGGGGAAUAUCCCUAUUCGUAUAGCUUUUCUUGUUUCUAAUAAAAUAAAUGUUUAUUGGUAAUCUUAUUUAUGUCUUUCCCACAGCUGCUUAAAAAAAAAAAAAAAAUAUCAUAACUGCAAUAUUUUUAAUACUUUAUACUGAUCGAUUUAAUUGUUUUCUUUUUACACAGAUUGCUUCAAAAUUGUUUGAAUGACAUUGCAACAACAGUUGAACCAUGGUUUCAAGUAUGUUGACUGGAAAAUGAAGAUGGCUUCUGCCAGAAGACGUGGCAUGACUGGGGAAAGUUGCUGUUCCUAAACCAGUUAACUUAUCCAGCCAAAAGUAUCCAGUUGACUGCUCUCUUUCUUUCUUUUCAUUUAUUUUAAAGUUCGAUUAAUGGAUGUGUUUGGGUUUCCCUUUCAAAUCUCAUGUUUUCUCUCUUUGCUUCAAGGUUAGAAAAUCAUGGGCUGGACCCGAAUGUGGAAAUUGUCCCUAAGUGGGUAACAUGUCUUUGUGUUUGGGUUCUUUCCUGUCUCUCCCCAUAUUUAUAGCAUUUAAUGCCUCUGGGUGCACUUAAUUGCUUCCUUUUUUCA